rnacentral:tRNA from 1 species
GGGGCUGUAGCUCAGUGGUAAAGCACUUGCCUCACAUGUGUGAGGCACCAUGUUUGAUCCUCAGCCCCA